AUUGAACGCUGGCGGAAUGCUUUACACAUGCAAGUCGGGCGGCAGCGCGGGGGCAACCCUGGCGGCGAGCGGCGAACGGGUGAGUAAUACAUCGGAACGUGUCCUUGAGUGGGGGAUAGCUCGGCGAAAGCCGGAUUAAUACCGCAUAAGCUCUGAGGAGGAAAGCGGGGGACUGGUAACGGCCUCGCGCUGUUGGAGCGGCCGAUGUCGGAUUAGCUAGUUGGUGGGGUAAAGGCCCACCAAGGCGACGAUCCGUAGCUGGUCUGAGAGGAUGAUCAGCCACACUGGAACU
rnacentral:rRNA from 1 species